rnacentral:lncRNA from 1 species
CAGUGCUGCAGUAAAUUGUGCGGCGCGACGUAUUUUAUUUUGAUUUUUGAAUCCUCCAUCUAAUGAAAGCGUUUUUGAUUUUAAAUUCUGAGGAAGAGUUUUGCGUAUUGGUGUGAAAAUGCAGUGUAUUAAAGUGUGUCUCAGUAUCGAUAUGAUUUCGAAUUAUCAUAAUUCUCUGCGGUAGUAAGCCCAAUAAUAUGCCAAUUUCAUAUCGAUCGAAUGGAAGAGUUUUAGAAUCUCACCAAAAUCAAACAACGUAUGCGAAAUGUGUAAAUUUAACGGAAUACCCUCUAACUAAAAGAAUGCAUCUGAUAUGCUACAACCUAGAAGCUAAGGAUGCUAUGGAUUUCAAUUGUAUAUGACAUUUUGUAGCAUUUUACUCCUUUUCCCUCACCUCCUAUCAACUCAGUUUAUAGAAAAUCAUCCUCUUUGUCGGGCUACCUCUAAUUUGGUUGAAGAAACAAAAUAAAACCAUGUGAUAGUUGGAAUAAAAAAGCUUCAAAGUGUAAAAUUAUUGACUUCCCUAAGAUCACCACAGUUUAAUGAAGAUGAUGGUUUUUUAUACUAGUGUAACCUAUUUAGUCAUUGAAUACCAUAUUAAAUGCUGGCUGAGGUGUUCUCUUGACAGAAAAGGUGAAUGUAUGGAUCAUCAUAAGAAGAAAUUCAUUUCUGAUUAAUUUGUUGAAAUGUCUUUGUUAUCAAUUCUCUGAAUAAAUUCUUCUUUGAAUAGUUUAAA